rnacentral:rRNA from 1 species
AUUGAACGCUGGCGGCAGGCCUAACACAUGCAAGUCGAACGAGUGGCGGACGGGUGAGUAAUGUCUGGGAAACUGCCCGAUGGAUGGGGAUACAUACUGGAAACGGUAGCUAAUACCGCAUACACUCGGAUAUGCCCCGAUGGGAUUAGCUUGUAGGUGAGGUAACGGCUCACCUAGGCGACGAUCCCUCGCUGGUCGGAGAGGAUGAUCAGUCACAUGGGAACUGAGACACGGUCCAGAUUCCCACGGGAGGCAGCAGUGGGGAAUAUUGGACAAUGGGCGAAAGCCUGAUCCAGGUAUGCCGCGUGUGUGAAGAAGGUCUUCGGAUUGUAAAGCACUUUAAGUUGGGAGGCGUUACCAACAGAAUAAGCACCGGCUAACUUCGUGCCAGCAGCCGCGGUAAUUC